UGUAACACCCCGUAUUCUACGUUGCCUUGUGGUAUAGUUAUGGACUUGAAUUUCUAUGCGACUAGUGACAAUAGAAUAGGUUUAAAGUGAGAUAGUAAAAGGUGGUAUUUGAUGUAAGAGUCAAAGUGGUCAAGUGCGUAUUAGUGUUACGGUCUUGUAAAGAAACUAAGAUUGGGAAAAUGGUGUAAAAUAAGUGAGGUGCUUGCUUGACUAAACUGUGCUAGUAGAUGACAAGUAGGUGAUACACCUACUUAGAAUUAGUGGACUGCAUUCUAAGUGGAAAGGGCAAGUAGGUGAUCCACCUACUUAAACACUUGUGGCAGAAAUUAAGGAGGUGAUGCACCUCCUUGCUUAAAAGUAAUGGACCAUAUUAUAUCUCUAAUUUAAUAAGUGAAAACGUCCAAAAGGGACAUCUAAAGAACUCAAUCUUAUCACAUCUCCUUCAUCACUUAUUCUCCAAAAAAUUGCUCCCAAGGAAAGCCAUUGAAGCUCCAAGAGUUCUAGACUAUAGCUUCACCAUUAAAAUUUGAAGCAAAGCCUUUCUUUUUAAAGUACAAGUUAGUAGAACAUACCCAUCUUAAGGAAUUUAGGUGAAUAAUUUGAUUUAACAUCAAGUUAUGGGGGAGAGGACAACCUAAACCUGGAAGAAUCCAAGUCUUAGCAAGUGAGGAUUCUAUCCAGCAAGAUAAAUAAUCUGAAAGGAAGACGAUUAACUCAUUGUAAUAUCCAAAGUUGUGCAACAAGGUAUGUAAGGCUAUUCGAUUUCCUAUUUCUUUGGCAUGAAUCCAACACUUGUAUUACAAAAAGUAAGCUUUCUAAGUGCCCUUGGUAGUGACUAAUCCAUAGUUGUUAUUCCUACUCCCUAGAGCAUUAAAGUGAGUACUCUAAUAUGAGUUUAUUACUAAAUGUGCGUGCUUACUCUACCAAGUAUUAGCAUGCAAGGUUUAAACGUGUUUCAUCGCCAAAGUACCCUUGGCAUGUAUUCCCCUUAUAUAAAUCAAAGUGAUCCUAGAUUACACAUGGUACAUAUGUUUAUAUGUUGGAUAUACAGUCUGCCCAUUUCAAGCAAACUUCCUUCAAUUGUCUAUUCCAUCAUAUAUGUCAUCUUGUCACAUGUUCAUAUGUUCCCUUUAUUGGUUAUUACUUCCAUUGUGUUAGACUAUUAUGUAACAAGAUCCCCACUUGCUCUAUUGUACAUUUUAUAUGUACGUACUUGGAAUAUGUAUCCGUCCUUAAGUUGAAUCUGCCCACGUUCUCCCUUGGUUGUACUUUCAUGUGUACCUUGUAGUUGAUAUUAGUUAGUGAGUAUUUGGAUACCAUAUAGAGUUCAAAUCUCUUGGCUGAAUGUUAAAUGUCUUCACUAGAUAUGUGAUUCAAUUUGAGAUGUCAAAAUGCUUACUGAGUCAUAUAAGCUCCUAAGUAUUAAGUUGGUGUCACAUUUGCUUCCCAUGUCAUUGUUAUUAUCGUAAGUCCAUAUUCACAUGUCUUCCACUACUGGUCAAAAGUUCCAAAUCUCAACAAUGAUGAUGACCACCUAAACAACAAUCUCAAAAGAGUUAUGAUCAUCAAAAAAAUAAUAUCAAAAAAGUUAUGAACAUCAAAACAACAAUCUCAAGGAUUAAAGAAUCUAAGAGAAGCAAUUUGUAUAAUGAUGGGUGGCAGCCUAGGUGCAAAUGCCUAGCAUGAGUCGAUCUCAAUUAGUAUGGAAGAGUGGCAGCUCCGGGACGAAAGCCUAGCAUGGGCCGAUCCCAAUUAGUAUAGAAGGGUGGCUGCUCAGGGGCAAAAGCCUAGCAUGGGCCGAUCCCAGUUCGUUGAAUUAUGAAGACAGCAUCCCAGGGGUUAAAUACCUAGCAUGGGUCAUCCUCUUGUACCACUGAUCAGCUGGUCAUUGGUAUCAUAUGCCUUAUAAAGAUUAGAACACACAGAAAAGUAAAGAAAAGAAUGUAAUAUACACGAUUCAAAAAGUAUAAGCAAAUGUGGUCUCUAAUCCUUACCUAUUUGUAUUUGGUUUCACUUGAGCUCUCAUUUUACAUAUGGUUGUAUUAUGCCAUACAUAUUCAGUAUAUUCUUCCGUACUGACAUCCCUUAUUAGGGACGCUGCAUUCCAUGCUGCAGUAUAAUUACUCAACUAGUAGAUCUCCCCCGUAGAAGCACAUGAUACUCAACGGUUGUUGGUGAGCUCCAGGUUGAUUUGGGGCUUUGCCGAGUCUUUACUAUGCGUAUUUUGAUAGUUGUACAGUCGUGGAUUCUAGUAUAGGCUUUGUAGAUAUUUUAAAACUAUCAUUUGUAUUCAUAGUUUUACCUGUCACAUGUAUUGGUUCAGCUAGUCGACAUGUGUUGUAUUAGCUUCUCAGUAGCAAAUCUAUAUGCAUAGUAGUUCACUUUCUCGUCGUAGGUCACUUGUAAAGCAUGUGUUCAUAUGGUACUUGUCCGCCUAACCUAGGGUGGGGUGUGACAAAAGUGGUAUCAGAGUCGUUCAUCCUACGGAGUCUACAAAGCCGUGUCUAGUAGAGCCAUACUUAUGAAUGUGUUGUGUGCCAUAUUUAUAAAUAGGGACUGCUUGGACAUUUAGCAAAUGUUACCUUCCUUCAUAAUCUAAAUCGUGCGAUAGAGCGAAGUUAAGAAGUCAAUUUCCACUUGUACCUGAUCAUGUUAGUCAUAUUAUGCGUACUAUGGUUAAGGUUAUUGGUAGCUAAAAUGUCAACAAAACUUUAUUGAGCUCAUUUUAUUCGACCAUCCUACUCCACAAGGUAUGUAAAGGUUUUUAUGUUAGUUUCAUCUAAAGUUGCAUUUGUACCAUUUGUAUCACGUUUGUUCAGUUGAGAAAGAUAUAGUAUGCUUAUCCAUAUUCUUAAAAAAUGAUGGGUUACCUUGUUACAUAUAGGAGCUGUAGCAUUUCCAACCACAUCUUCUUAGGAGGAUAUACCCACUCUUGAGUUCUAUAUUUCCCCAUAUUUACAGGAUCUAUUCCUAAAGAGGACACUCGUUCUUAGUCUAUGAUAUACAUAGAAUUUUCAGCGUUACACAUGUACUCGAAAUUGAUGUUGUGGAAACCAGUUUCUUUUAGUUGGAAAAAGGCAGUGACACAAUCUGAUAGGUGCAUGUACCAGUGCAAUUCUGUUACUAGAGAGGUACCUAAUUGGCUGACAAGGCCCAAAUUCUCACCAUAUAUCAUCCCAAAUAUGUUAAUAGUUGGCAUUUUAUAUGAUAUGUGCCAACUACCCCGAAUAAGUACUAAUAACAUUUAUAUUCUUUUCAUGAUUAUAAAACUUAGGGACAAGUGUGCUAAUUGCUGCAAAUGAUAUAUGGAUGGCAGUUCCUACUACAAUCUAUAUUUUGGUGAUAGAGGAUUAGUAUGUGACCAAAGGGUAAGGUUAACAAAAGGAAAAUUGAUUGGUUAGACCUAAAUUGUGAUUAAUGAGGUUGUACAUAGUGGGAUUAGAGCACAUGAAGCUACUAGUUUUGAUUAAAAGGUACUUGUUAGACAGGAAGCAUGUGAGAAUGAAGCGUGAAUGACACAUGCCGAAUAUGUACGUAGAGCUUCUAGUUAGAAAGAGAUUGUACAUGUAAAAUCCCCUAAACAUAGGAGUAGGGGUGAUAUGAGGAUGCUAUAGAAGAGUGAGAUAGAUGGUUACGAAAGAGUGGUUGCUACGUGUAUGAGGCAAGAAUAAGGUAUCAACCUUCAACCCUAACAAGUUAUAAAGGUGCACCUUGGAACAACUUUGUGAACCUUUGUUAGAUAGAAAAGUCAUUUUAGUAUUGCUUCAAGCUUUGAUAUUUGGUCUUGAUAACAAAAAAAAAAAAAAAGGGAAUAGAAAGGCUACCUGGAGAGAAGAUACAUGGACAUAAUUCAUCUACAUCAUUAGUACAAAAGAGAAGUAGAGCAUUAUACACAUGUAUAGACUUCCAUCAAUUGAAUAGAGCUAUUACAUGAUUCAUUUAAUAUAUGCCUAUAGUAAUUCAUCAAUCAUAGUCCAAUUAAGGGAGAGGAAAAAUUCAUCAUAUGCUAGUUGUUCGUAUUUGAUAUCUUGCAUGGGAAAAGAGUGGGAGCACCCUCACUUGUUAUAAAAAAAAUGAGGAAAUUUAUUAGCAUGGCCAGACCUAUCUAGUUAAGCCGAAAGCCGGCUAACUGUAAGACGUUAUGAAUCAUGAUAUAACUUUAUAGGUACCUGACAUUAGAGUUCAUGUUUUAUGGUCUGUUCAAGUUUCACUAUUUAUUUUCUAUUUUGACCUUGAAAAGGCACCAGACAUUGAGUGUGAUGUUACACAAACUAGUAAAAGAGGUAAAGUUGACCUCGACCUCUUACUCUAAAAGAUGAACCAUUGCAGAUUUUUUUCUCUCUAUCUUAAAUGUAGUAUUUAUAUUAACCUAGAAGGAAGCCAAUCCCCAAUAGCAGAACACCUAUAAUAAUUCUGAGGAGAUUGAAGAGAGUAAAUGGGGAAAUCAAUUGUAUAUGCUUUGAGGUGAGUAAGGAAUAUGAGCAGAACUAUCCCACCCGUGACCUAACUCUUAAGACAAUGUUUUUUUCCCAUAAUAUGGUAAAGUGGUUCUAUAGGAUAUCUCAUAGUUUUCAAAGAUGGUUUGUUAUAUAAUUAUAUAUGCUACAUGUUCUAUAACUCAUCUUUUUGUAUGACAUUUGUCCUUUAUGGAUUACUUUCUCACAUGUUACCUAAUGUCAUAGAAUGCUUGCAUGUAAGUGGUUUCCGCUUCGGAGCACCCUUGCUUAUUGCUAUAUGUUUUCGUAGGACCUUUCCCUACAUGUUGUUUAUUGCACUGGUUACUUCCCAGAGCACCCUUGUUUAUUGUUGUAUGUUUUCGUAGGACCUUUUUCCCUACAUGUUAUUUACUGCACUGGCUACUUCCCACAUGUCACUUGUCCAUAUUGUGUGGGUAUUGCAGGAUAAUUGAUUAUAUGCUAUGGGCAAAAUUAGUGCUUAUAUGAAUCGCAUACCACUUGUUUGCAUGUCAUAUGCAUCAUAAACCAUUUCUAUAUAUAUUACAUGCCUUGUAGCCUACUUGCUUAAACAUUACAGGCCUUAUAGCUUUUAUGGCCAUGUGUCAUGUGCUCAUCUAGUCCAUUUGCUACAUGCCUUAUAGUACAUUGGCUCACACGCUGCCCUAUAAUUCAUAUGUGCACAUACACUACAUAUUUAUAUAGCCUAGUGCCCGUAUAUUAUGCGCUCCCUUUUGUGCUAGUCUGCCUAUGUGUCAUACCCAAUGUGACUUAUUUCUCCAUAUACUAUGCCCAUCUGUGCUUAUUGACUUGAGUUUUGAACAUUUUGGGAAAACGUUUCCUUGUAUCAUUAUGUAGUGAAGAUUUUGACCAGAAAAGGUUGGGCAUAUAUAUAAAUUUUAUCACAAUCAUAGAUAAAUUACUUAGAAUAAUGCCUCAUUCGAGGGUGCGACAUAAAAUUUAGAGUUUAUAUUAACACGUAUGCGUUAUUAUAAGACUCACCUCUAAAAAGGGUCAUAAGAUAAAAGAGAAGGGAAAGUAGAGCCCCGAUAGGUUAGGCCUAUGAUUUUAUGUGUCCGUUCCAUAUAGUUGUUUUUAGGAAAUACUAUAGUUAUUCUUGAUUGUUAAGGCCCGAAAGCUAAGAACAAAAGGUGUAACCUCCAUUGAGGUGUUGUGGAAGGACUAGAAUAUAACGUAAGAUACUUGGGAAUAAAAGAUGGUAGAGAUCCUAAACACCCCUCCACAUUCUAAACAUCAACAUAAGGAUAUGAGAUCAUAUGGUCCCCUUAUAUGAUCAUAAGUCCUACUAGCAUUUGUUCAUUUGAUAUGCCAUUUGCAUGUUUUUUGUUUAGUAGGUAUAUUAAAUUUCUUAUUUGUAUGAGUUCUACUUGUGUAUCAUCAGUGAAUUAUAUGGUCAAGAAAGGGGUUUAAUUACUCAUAUUUAUAUUUCAUGAACCAUAUCUAGUGAGACAUCAUGCGAGACUUUUCUCUGUGUUUUAGGUUAUUCUAUAGAUUUUGGAUAUUCCAGUUGAUAAAAGGAACUCUCGCAAAUCUCCAAAUGAAAUUCAAGAUUAACCAAACUAUCAACUACACCUAUCAUUCGUCCUCGAAUGAUCAUAAGGGGGGAAGGAUGUGACACCACAUAUUCUACGAUGCCUUGUGGUAUAGUUAUGGACUCAGAUUUCUAUGCGACUAGUGACAAUAGAAUAGGUUUAAAGUGAGAUAGUAAAAGUUGGUAUUUGAUGUAAGAGUCAAAGUGGUCAAGUGCGUAUUAGUGUUAUGGUCUUGUAAAGGAACUAAGACUGGGAAAAUGGUGUAAAAUAAGUGAGGUGCUUGCUUGACUAAACUGUGCUAGUAGGUGACAAGUAGGUGAUACACCUACUUAG
rnacentral:lncRNA from 1 species